GGAGUUAGCCGGUGCUUCUUCUGUGAGUGAUGUCCUUCCUGCCGGCUAUUAACCCGCAGGCCUUCUUCCUCACUGAAAGUGCUUUACAACCCGAAGGCCUUCUUCACACACGCGGCAUGGCUGGAUCAGGGUUGCCCCCAUUGUCCAAUAUUCCCCACUGCUGCCUCCCGUAGGAGUCUGGUCCGUGUCUCAGUCCCAGUGUGGCUGAUCAUCCUCUCAGACCAGCUACGGAUCGUCGCCUUGGUGAGCCGUUACCUCACCAACCAGCUAAUCCGACAUAGGCUCAUCCGAUAGCGCGAGGCCCGAAGGUCCCCCGCUUUCCCCCGUAGGGCGUAUGCGGUAUUAUCCUGGGUUUCCCCAGGUUAUCCCCCACUACCGGGCAGAUUCCUAUGCAUUACUCACCCGUCCGCCGCUCGCCACCAGGGAGCAAGCUCCCCGUGCUGCCGCUCGACUUGCAUGUGUUAGGCCUGCCGCCAGCGUUCAAUCUGAGCCAGGAUCAAACUCUGA
rnacentral:rRNA from 1 species